rnacentral:miRNA from 1 species
UUGAAAGUAUUGGUUCAUGCUG